rnacentral:rRNA from 1 species
AACGCUAGCUACAGGCUUAACACAUGCAAGUCGAGGGGAAACGAUAUUGGAAGCUUGCUUCCGAUAGGUGUCGACCGGCGCACGGGUGAGUAACGCGUAUCCAACCUGCCCGUCACUUGGGAAUAACCUUGCGAAAGUAAGACUAAUGCCCAAUGACAUUUAUAGAAGGCAUCUGAAAUGAAUUAAAGAUUUAUCGGUGAUGGAUGGGGAUGCGUCUGAUUAGCUUGUUGGCGGGGUAACGGCCCACCAAGGCGACGAUCAGUAGGGGUUCUGAGAGGAAGGUCCCCCACAUUGGAACUGAGACACGGUCCAAACUCCUACGGGAGGCAGCAGUGAGGAAUAUUGGUCAAUGGACGGAAGUCUGAACCAGCCAAGUAGCGUGCAGGAUGACGGCCCUAUGGGUUGUAAACUGCUUUUAUGUGGGGAUAAAGUUCGGGACGUGUCCUGAUUUGCAGGUACCACAUGAAUAAGGACCGGCUAAUUCCGUGCCAGCAGCCGCGGUAAUACGGAAGGUCCGGGCGUUAUCCGGAUUUAUUGGGUUUAAAGGGAGCGUAGGCCGUUUUUUAAGCGUGUUGUGAAAUGCCGCGGCUCAACCGUGGCACUGCAGCGCGAACUGGAUGACUUGAGUGCGCGGGAGGUAGGCGGAAUUCGUGGUGUAGCGGUGAAAUGCUUAGAUAUCACGAAGAACUCCGAUUG